UAGAUAAAUAGAUAAAUAUACUAAAGACAUUGGUAACAUAAUGCUUUCUAGAUCGUAAAUUUUGAUAACAUGUAAUCUAGUGCAUAUAAUGGCCAUAAAAUAAAGUAUGAAUUUUAGCGAAUAAUAAGAAUUUCUAAUAACUUUUAAGCACAAAAAUAUGGAAAACAUUCUGAUACAAUGACGGUGGUUGCUCAAAGCUCGUCAGCACUAACGGUCCUGGGUUAAAAACUGUUUGGUUCGUGUCAGUAGAGAGUUUAAGUUCGACUUCCAAUACCAAUACCGAUACCAAUGUUUUCACUUCCGUUCUGAUUUUGGUACCGGGAAUUUUAAAGCGUUAAGUUAUCACGACAGAUAAAGUAUACAACACAUUAAUCGUCACCGAAAAUGUUCGGCAUAUUAAACGGCAGCUGAGCUAAAAUUUCGACUAAAACAUGACUCAGGCGAUGCUAAUAAACAAAUAGUUUACAUGUUUAUUGUAAAAAUUAUGAAAUAUCCGAUUUAUAUGAGUUUAUCUCCCAAUUCCCCCGACUUCCAAUACAAGGCCGACUUCGGUAGUGGCGACUUCCAAUACACUUGUCCUCGUGCUUGUUGCGAGCAGAGAGCAUGCGCAUGAAAUGUUGUUAGUAUCGGUAUUGGUAUCGGAAGUCGAACUUAAACUCUCUAGUGGCGAAGCCAGCCCGACAAUUUGGUCAUGCUAUGCAAAUAUUUCCGUGUUCAUAAACC